GCAGGCCAGGUCCACACGGGCAGUCUCCGGUGGAAACGGGAGAGGAGGUGGCUGGAGGCCGGGCAGGGCGGGGUGACCCCCGAGGGCAGCCUAGGGCUGGGGUGGCCCCUCCCCUUGAGCUGGGACCCGCCGUGGAGGGGGGCCCAGACGACAGCGGGUUUGGCGGGGGGAGCGGGGUGCGGGCCCACACCAAAUGGCCGGGGGCCUCAGGACCCCUCCUGUUCCCAGAACCAGAGCACCAGAGCACUGGGGCCGUCUGAAGCCCGGGGUGAGCCGAGGGCACCGGGUACACCUGCGGGGAGGGGUGUCCCUGGGAGCGGGAGGAAUGUCAGCGGCGGGGAUGGGACUAGCCCAGGCACAUCCCGCAGGUGAGGACAGCCUGAGGACGCGGCGGGGAUGGGACUAGCCUGGGCACAUCCCACGGGUGGCCGGAGGCACCUCCACCUCCACCUCGCAGCCCUCCCGGAUCGCCCUGCGCGCAGAGCCCGGGCCAACCUCUGAUUGGACCAAGGAGCCAAGCCUUGGGGGGAGCACUCAGCGGGUGGGAGGACAAGGAUGGAGAGGGGGGCAGUGGGGAGGGAGGCGAGCUGAGGGGUGCUGGGUUCCUCGGGAAGGAGCACCCCCACCCCAGACCAGCCCAGGGGCUCGGCCUGGUCCGGGCUUCCCCUCCGAGCCCCAGCUCUGUGUUCCCAGGAGCUGUGCCACCUGGCAAGUUGCUUGACCCCCCUGUGCCUGCACUGCCCCCCCAGUGCCCAGGGCACCGUAGUUACAACAGCUUCUCCCAUAAGCGACCGUGACCUGCCCCGCAUGAGGUCAGGCCUCCCUCUGGCUGCCCUGAUAAGGACCUUGGUGAUCACAGGUGGGGCGCCCCGGGGUCCUCCCAGACAACCUCCCCAUCUCACGUUACCGUAUGGGCUGCAUCAUUUUUUGCCACAGAAGGUGUCACUCAGAGGCUCCAGGGAUUAGGACGGGGACAUCUUUUGGGGUCUGUGGGUGGGAUUACAUACUUGGAGCAUUUCUGGGCAUUUGAGAGCUGGAGAGUGUCAACCUGUUUUGAGCAGCUCUGGGUCCCCACUAGGGCAAGGCCUGAUAGAGAGCAGACACGGGGUCCCUGGGG